AACGAACGCUGACGGCAUGCCUAACACAUGCAAGUCGAACGAGACCUUCGGGUCUAGUGGCGCACGGGUGCGUAACGCGUGGGAAUCUGCCCUUGGGUUCGGAAUAACAGCGAGAAAUUGCUGCUAAUACCGGAUGAUGACGUAAGUCCAAAGAUUUAUCGCCCAAGGAUGAGCCCGCGUAGGAUUAGCUAGUUGGUGAGGUAAAGGCUCACCAAGGCGACGAUCCUUAGCUGGUCUGAGAGGAUGAUCAGCCACACUGGGACUGAGACACGGCCCAGACUCCUACGGGAGGCAGCAGUGGGGAAUAUUGGACAAUGGGCGAAAGCCUGAUCCAGCAAUGCCGCGUGAGUGAUGAAGGCCUUAGGGUUGUAAAGCUCUUUUACCCGGGAUGAUAAUGACAGUACCGGGAGAAUAAGACUCCGGCUAACUCCGUGCCAGCAGCCGCGGUAAU
rnacentral:rRNA from 1 species